CGAUCGGUAGACGCUACGGACUUGAAAAUCCGUUGGCUUUAGUGACCGUGAGGGUUCAAGUCCCUCUACCCCCAACCCCA
rnacentral:tRNA from 1 species